ACACUUUUAAAAACAUCCCACUUUCCUGACGUUCCUUUUCCAUCAAACAAUCGGCUCCAAUCAACUUCAGCGAGUGCCUGUCUCAUACCCUCAAAGUUGGCCUUGCCCCAAUUGAGCAUUUUAACAUCUUGGGCCUGCUCUCUC